rnacentral:rRNA from 1 species
AACGAACGCUGGCGGCAUGCCUAACACAUGCAAGUCGAACGAGAUCCUUCGGGGUCUAGUGGCGCACGGGUGCGUAACGCGUGGGAAUCUGCCCUUAGGUUCGGAAUAACAGUUAGAAAUGACUGCUAAUACCGGAUGAUGACGUUAAGUCCAAAGAUUUAUCGCCUGAGGAUGAGCCCGCGUAGGAUUAGCUAGUUGGUGUGGUAAAGGCGCACCAAGGCGACGAUCCUUAGCUGGGCUGAGAGGAUGAUCAGCCACACUGGGACUGAGACACGGCCCAGACUCCUACGGGAGGCAGCAGUGGGGAAUAUUGGACAAUGGGCGCAAGCCUGAUCCAGCAAUGCCGCGUGAGUGAUGAAGGCCUUAGGGUUGUAAAGCUCUUUUACCCGAGAUGAUAAUGACAGUAUCGGGAGAAUAAGCCCCGGCUAACUCCGUG